CAGUGGAUCAGCUAAGUUUAAGCUAUUGGGCUCAUAACCCAACAAUGGUUCAUCCUCCUCUGA
rnacentral:tRNA from 1 species